CUGCUCGUAGUUGAGUUGUAGCUAGGGGCGGGGCGCUCUCCUCUGUUUUCCCAAGUCCCAGGCUCCCAGAAACCGCCGCCGUCGCAGCGCCUCAUCCUGUAGCCGCCUCCGCGUGUCAUGUUCGCGCACGGCUCUCUCGCGAGGUUUAGCCGGCUUGCUCGAACCCGAAGGCCCCCGCUCGUCGCGGCCUCCCCGCUCCGCUACCUCCAGGGAUCAGUCGGUCCAAAUAAUUUGCCCUCCUCUGUCAUGGAACGGGCGCAGGGAGCUUCAAAUAAUGCGGCGAAACACAGGAAAACUAAUCCACCUCUGCAGACAUGGAGGCCAGUCUCGACACAAGCAUCUCCCCGGGAAGCUCACCUUGAUGAGAUAUCCAAUUCCAGAAGGAAGCAAAUGGCAGGGACUUCCAUCACUGAUAGUGAGAAUUCGGUGUUGGAUGAAACAACGAAUGUUGGCAUUGAAGUAACCACCAAUAAUACUUUCUUGUCAGAAAGUAGUUCCACCUUUAGUUCCAGUGCAACUAAAGUAGCUGCAGAAAACACUAUGGAGGUAGAUGUUCCUCUAAUGCAUUUUCUGAAAGGAAAAGGUGGGUCUGUGCAGAAGCAGAUUGAACAGGAGACUGGAGUUAAAAUCAUUUUUCCAUCUGGAAAGGAGGAAACACUAGUUGUCCUCGAAGGUAAAAGUGCUGAAAGUAUUGGAAAAGUAUCAGAGAGAAUUGCAAAGAUCCUUGAAGAGGCUGUUCAAAGUCCAAUGCUAGAUUACUCGCAUUUCAUAUCACUUCCAUUGGCCAUCCACCCCGAUCUUGUCGAGAAGCUCAAUAACUUCCAGAGGUCGAUCCUUGGGGUGUCUGCAUCUAAUGUAGAUAGUGAUAAGGAUGAAAUCCUAAGCGAAAGUUCUGUGGAUGAAAUUGAUGAAGCAGCGAGCCCUAGUGUUCCGGUCAAGCAGCCAGUCCAAGAAGAAAAGCCUGUCAUAGUGAAAAUGGAUAAUAAGGGCUCCCAACCAGAGUUCGACAUUGACAAGUCAAUAUUCAUAAAACCCAAAACGUUCCACCUAACAGUUCUUAUGUUGAAGUUGUGGAAUAAGGAUCGUAUAGCCCAGGCUUCUGAUAUCCUCCAGUCAGUAUCUUCCCAGGUAAAUGAUGCUUUGGAAAACCGACCUAUCUCCAUACAACUUAGGGGUCUGACAUGCAUGAAAGGCUCACCAGCUAGGGCCAGGGUUGUAUAUGCUCCAGUACUGGAAGUUGGUGGAGAAGGACGCCUUGUCCGUGCUUGCAAGGUAAUAACUGAAGCCUUCGUCAAGUCAGGCCUAGUUCUUGAAAGGGAUGCCAAACAAGAAUUGAGGUUACAUGCAACCAUAAUGAAUGUGCGCCACCGGAAGAGCAAGAAAUCGAACCGAAGAAACGAUUCGUUCGAUGCUCGGGCUAUAUUCAGACAAUACGGGGAACAGGAUUGGGGCGAGUAUCCUGUACCGGCGGUGCACCUAUCGCAGAGGUUCAAGUUCGACGAGGGUGGAUACUACCACUGCUGUUGCUCGAUCCCCUUGCCCGAGGUGGCUCAGACGGAGUGAGCUCCGUGUGUUUCAACAUAAUGCAGUAUUCAGUCUUGACGCAGUAUCUUAUGCCCUCGGGAUCAGUACGUGGUCUUGUUUGCCCUCAUGGAAUUUGUAGUUUUGGCCGUAUGUCUUUGCUCGUGUUGCUGUGGACAUUGUGCACGGUAAUGAGUGGUAGCAUCCCUAGCCACGGCUUGUAUUGGCUUAGUGCCCCUGUUGAUUUCUGAAUCUGAACUGUUGCUUGCCACUUUCCUUCAUCUUCUCUCUAUCCGUUUUGUUCCCUUGUGACGGUCUUGUGCUUUCUGCCUCGCAAAUGGCCAAACGAAACG
rnacentral:rRNA from 1 species